rnacentral:rRNA from 1 species
CGAGUAACCUGCCCUUAACUCUGGGAUAAGCCUGGGAAACUGGGUCUAAUACCGGAUAUGACUCCUCAUCGCAUGGUGGGGGGUGGAAAGCUUUUUGUGGUUUUGGAUGGACUCGCGGCCUAUCAGCUUGUUGGUGAGGUAAUGGCUCACCAAGGCGACGACGGGUAGCCGGCCUGAGAGGGUGACCGGCCACACUGGGACUGAGACACGGCCCAGACUCCUACGGGAGGCAG